UGUCUUGAACUUAAUUGUAGAAUUGAAUCUUAACCCAUCCUUUAAAUCUUUCUUGGCAUUACACAUUUCUCGCAUAGCAAUUUUAAUCUUAUUAAUUAAAAAUUACAUGAAACGAUAUAGGUUCUCUUCUUUUCUAUUAUGCAUCUGUUGCAGCUUAUCACAUCAUUCGAACUACAGUUUCCAAAUUCUUACUUGAAAAAAAUAUAUGUUCUGUUCUUUCCUAUUUUGCAUCUAUUGCAUCUUAUCACGUCAUUGGAAUUUUAGUUUAGCAUUACGAAUUUGGGUCUGGCUUUUAGUUGGCCACCGAGAAGCUAAUUCAGCAAUUGGAAUGAUGAACCUUCAGUUUUUUAUUUAUUUUUACUUAUUUUUUCAAGUACUUCAUCUAUGUGUAAUUUUCUUUAAUCGGAACUUGCAUUGCACCAGUUGAUAGACUAAAGCUGGAAUAUAUAGUCUGUGAUGGAAAGAGGAAUAUACUUGAGCUCAUCAAGAAAAUAAAAGUACCUCAAGGCCUGAAAGGUUUUUGGAAGUUUCUAGCUUAAGUGAUUGGACCUUUGAUCAUUUGGCAUUUGAGGUUGUGAGGGAGCAGCUCCAAGCAAGGCCAAGCUACUAAAAUGAGUGCGUUGACAACAGCUUGCAAGAUCGUUGAACAAGGAGGUCUUCCUGCUCAUUAAAUGGGUCUUCUUCCCAGCUUACUACAGUUAUAGUAUAUGUUAUGUCAUGUUUUAUAAGGAGGAGAUAAUAUUAUGGAACAAAAAGAAGCUAAAAUUUUAUUCAUUACAUUGUCGAGUACCGUAUACCAAACAUGCAUUAUAUGAAGUCUUCCUCUGGCUUCUGACUUUUAGUCUUUGAUAGAAUUUCUCAAUUUCAUGUUUAUAUUGAUUAAUAUGCAAUCAAUUCUUUAUGUUUCCCAAUCA